rnacentral:lncRNA from 1 species
CAGAAUCUAAUCGAAUAUUGCAUGAAACAUGAAACAUCAAUUCAAGUCUUUUCUUAAACGGAGAAUGCAUCAAACAAAAUCCAAAGUGUCUUGCAAGUCUGUAGCAUGAGCAAAAAAUUGUAAAUAUGUUGAACCAAAUUAUUCAAGUACAGAAGAACGAGCAAGCUAAAUCAUGUAUAAGAGAUUGGCCUGGUUCGGGAUAGCUUCUUCACUGUACCUGAAGGGUUGGCUCAAUCUCUUCUUUAGAAUUCUGCAGAUUUUGUAAUUACUCGUGUAAGCAAGCAUACAUUGCCACCAUAAGAAUAAUAAAGCUAGAGUAAUGAUAUGACCACCACCUCUUGUGCACAAACAAUAUUGUAUAAACUAAUGCGACAUAAUAUGAUUGGUUAAACAAAAACAUUACAUGGCCCUCAUAAUUUAUUUAUUUAUUUAUUAUUAUUAUUAUAUAUUUUCAAUCAACCAAUCAUAUUAUAUCACAUUAGUUUCUAUAAAAUAAUUUGCUAAAUAGCACCAAAACUUAAUUGAUACUCACCAUUUCAUUGAACAA